GACGAACGCUGGCGGCGUGCUUAACACAUGCAAGUCGAACGGAAAGGCCCUGCUUUUGUGGUGUUCUCGAGUGGCGAACGGGUGCGUAACACGUGAGUAACCUGCCCUUGACUUUGGUAUAACUUCAGGAAACUGGGGCUAAUACCGGAUAGGAGCUCCUGCUGCAUGGUGGGGGUUGGAAAGUUUCGGCGGUUGGGGAUGGACUCGCGGCUUAUCAGCUUGUUGGUGGGGUAGUGGCUGACCAAGGCUUUGACGGGUAGCCGGCCUGAGAGGGUGACCGGCGACAAGGGGACUGAGAGACGGACCAGAGUCCUACGGGAGGCAGCGGGGGGGAAUAUUGCACAAUGGGAGGAAGCCGGAGGCAGAAACGCCGCGUGCGGGAUGACGGCCUGUGGGUUGUAAACAGCUGUAGGCUGUGACGAAGCGGGAGUGACGGUAAUGGGUAAAGAAGCACCGGCUAACUACGUG
rnacentral:rRNA from 1 species